rnacentral:rRNA from 1 species
CGGCGAUGUCCGAAUGGGGAAACCCAGUGCAAUUCGUUGCACUAUCGUUAACUGAAUACAUAGGUUAACGAGGCGAACCGGGGGAACUGAAACAUCUAAGUACCCCGAGGAAAAGAAAUCAACCGAGAUUCCCCCAGUAGCGGCGAGCGAACGGGGAGCAGCCCAGAGUCUGAAUCAGCUUGUGUGUUAGUGGAACGGUCUGGAAAGUCCGACGGUACAGGGUGAUAGUCCCGUACACCAAAAUGCACAGGCUGUGAACUCGAAGAGUAGGGCGGGACACGUGGUAUCCUGUCUGAAUAUGGGGGGACCAUCCUCCAAGGCUAAAUACUCCUGACUGACCGAUAGUGAACCAGUACCGUGAGGGAAAGGCGAAAAGAACCCCGGCGAGGGGAGUGAAAAAGAACCUGAAACCGUGUACGUACAAGCAGUGGGAGCACCUUCGGGUGUGACUGCGUACCUUUUGUAUAAUGGGUCAGCGACUUAUAUUCUGUAGCAAGGUUAACCGUAUAGGGGAGCCGCAGGGAAACCGAGUCUUAACUGGGCGUUAAGUUGCAGGGUAUAGACCCGAAACCCGGUGAUCUAGCCAUGGGCAGGUUGAAGGUUGGGUAACACUAACUGGAGGACCGAACCGACUAAUGUUGAAAAAUUAGCGGAUGACUUGUGGCUGGGGGUGAAAGGCCAAUCAAACCGGGAGAUAGCUGGUUCUCCCCGAAAGCUAUUUAGGUAGCGCCUCGUGAAUUCAUCUUCGGGGGUAGAGCACUGUUUCGGCUAGGGGGUCAUCCCGACUUACCAACCCGAUGCAAACUACGAAUACCGAAGAAUGUUAUCACGGGAGACACACGGCGGGUGCUAACGUCCGUCGUGAAGAGGGAAACAACCCAGACCGCCAGCUAAGGUCCCAAAGUCAUGGUUAAGUGGGAAACGAUGUGGGAAGGCACAGACAGCCAGGAUGUUGGCUUAGAAGCAGCCAUCAUUUAAAGAAAGCGUAAUAGCUCACUGGUCGAGUCGGCCUGCGCGGAAGAUGUAACGGGGCUAAACCAUGCACCGAAGCUGCGGCAGCGACACUAUGUGUUGUUGGGUAGGGGAGCGUUCUGUAAGCCUGCGAAGGUGACCUGUGAGGGUUGCUGGAGGUAUCAGAAGUGCGAAUGCUGACAUAAGUAACGAUAAAGCGGGUGAAAAGCCCGCUCGCCGGAAGACCAAGGGUUCCUGUCCAACGUUAAUCGGGGCAGGGUGAGUCGACCCCUAAGGCGAGGCCGAAAGGCGUAGUCGAUGGGAAACAGGUUAAUAUUCCUGUACUUGGUGUUACUGCGAAGGGGGGACGGAGAAGGCUAUGUUAGCCGGGCGACGGUUGUCCCGGUUUAAGCAUGUAGGCUGGUUAUCCAGGCAAAUCCGGAUAAUCAAGGCUGAGGUGUGAUGACGAGGCACUACGGUGCUGAAGUAACAAAUGCCCUGCUUCCAGGAAAAGCCUCUAAGCAUCAGGUAACAUUAAAUCGUACCCCAAACCGACACAGGUGGUCAGGUAGAGAAUACCAAGGCGCUUGAGAGAACUCGGGUGAAGGAACUAGGCAAAAUGGUGCCGUAACUUCGGGAGAAGGCACGCUGGUGUGUAGGUGAAGUCCCUGCGGAUGGAGCUGAGACCAGUCGAAGAUACCAGCUGGCUGCAACUGUUUAUUAAAAACACAGCACUGUGCAAACACGAAAGUGGACGUAUACGGUGUGACGCCUGCCCGGUGCCGGAAGGUUAAUUGAUGGGGUUAUCCGUAAGGAGAAGCUCUUGAUCGAAGCCCCGGUAAACGGCGGCCGUAACUAUAACGGUCCUAAGGUAGCGAAAUUCCUUGUCGGGUAAGUUCCGACCUGCACGAAUGGCGUAAUGAUGGCCAGGCUGUCUCCACCCGAGACUCAGUGAAAUUGAACUCGCUGUGAAGAUGCAGUGUACCCGCGGCAAGACGGAAAGACCCCGUGAACCUUUACUAUAGCUUGACACUGAACAUUGAGCCUUGAUGUGUAGGAUAGGUGGGAGGCUUUGAAGCGUGGACGCCAGUCUGCGUGGAGCCAACCUUGAAAUACCACCCUUUAAUGUUUGAUGUUCUAACGUUGGCCCCUGACCGGGGUUGCGGACAGUGUCUGGUGGGUAGUUUGACUGGGGCGGUCUCCUCCCAAAGCGUAACGGAGGAGCACGAAGGUUAGCUAAUCCUGGUCGGACAUCAGGAGGUUAGUGCAAUGGCAUAAGCUAGCUUGACUGCGAGCGUGACGGCGCGAGCAGGUGCGAAAGCAGGUCAUAGUGAUCCGGUGGUUCUGAAUGGAAGGGCCAUCGCUCAACGGAUAAAAGGUACUCCGGGGAUAACAGGCUGAUACCGCCCAAGAGUUCAUAUCGACGGCGGUGUUUGGCACCUCGAUGUCGGCUCAUCACAUCCUGGGGCUGAAGUAGGUCCCAAGGGUAUGGCUGUUCGCCAUUUAAAGUGGUACGCGAGCUGGGUUUAGAACGUCGUGAGACAGUUCGGUCCCUAUCUGCCGUGGGCGCUGGAGAAUUGAGGGGGGCUGCUCCUAGUACGAGAGGACCGGAGUGGACGCAUCACUGGUGUUCGGGUUGUCAUGCCAAUGGCACUGCCCGGUAGCUAAAUGCGGAAGAGAUAAGUGCUGAAAGCAUCUAAGCACGAAACUUGCCCCGAGAUGAGUUCUCCCUGAGACUUUAAGUCUCCUGAAGGAACGUUAAAGACGAUGACGUUGAUAGGCCGGGUGUGUAAGCGCAGCGAUGCGUUGAGCUAACCGGUACUAAUGAACCGUGAGGCUUAACCUU